rnacentral:rRNA from 1 species
AGUGAACGCUGGCGGCGUGUCUAAUACAUGCAAGUCGAACGGAGUGGCGCACGGGGGAGUAAUGUAUAGCUAAUCUGCCCUACACUAGAGGACAACAGUUGGAAACGGCUGCUAAUACUCUAUAGUGUAGGAUGAGGCUAUAUUGUAUAAGCUAGUUGGUGAGGUAAUGGCUCACUAAGGCUAUGACGCAUAACUGGUUUGAGAGGAUGAUCAGUCACCUUGGAACUGAGACACCGUCCGGGCUCCUCCGGGAUGCAGCAGUAGUGAAUAUUGCUCAAUGGGGGAAACCCUGAAGCAGCAUCGCCUCGUGAAGCAUUACACUUUUCGGAGCGUAAACUCCUUUUUUUAGGGACGCGGUACCUAACGAAUAAGCACCGGCUAACUCCGUGCCAGCAGCCGCGGUAAUUC